rnacentral:rRNA from 1 species
UACGAAGGGGGCUAGCGUUGCUCGGAAUCACUGGGCGUAAAGGGUGCGUAGGCGGGUCUUUAAGUCAGGGGUGAAAUCCUGGAGCUCAACUCCAGAACUGCCCUUGAUACUGAGGAUCUUGAGUUCGGGAGAGGUGAGUGGAACUGCGAGUGUAGAGGUGAAAUUCGUAGAUAUUCGCAAGAACACCAGUGGCGAAGGCGGUUGCCUGGGGCUUUGCUGACGCUGAUGCGCGAAAGCGUGGGGAGCGAUCCGG